UAUGCUUAUCUAAAGGAUUAAGCCAUGCAAAGGUAAGAAAAUCAUCUAGAAUGUGGUUUUCGUUUUAAGGCUCCUUAAAUCAGUUAUUGUUUAUUUGAAUGUGGAAUCUGGAAAAAGGUUCAAUCUAUGUGGAUAACUGUGGGAAAACUAUAGAUAAUACAUGCAAAAAGGGGAAACUGAGGCAACUUGGAAUCCCUGCAUUAUCUAGAAAUUUAUCAAGAGGUGUACAAAACUUCUGAUGAUGAAACACAGUUUACUAAAUAGCAGAUCGAUAGCAAUAUCGACGCUUCAUUCAAAUUUCUGCUUUAUCAACUGUCGAUGGUAAGUUAUUGGCUUACCAUGGUUAUCACGAGUAAGGAAUUCGAUGGGAAUGAUUCCUGAGAUUUCGCCUGAGAGAUGGCGAAAAUUUCUAAGGAAAGCAGCAGGCGCGCAAAUUACCCAAUAUUGAGACAAUGAGGUAGUGACAAGACAUAACGACAGGAUUUAGGGUGCAGGAUAAUAUCUUGCACUCAACCUGAUUGCAAUGAGUACAAUUUAAAAAGAUUAAUUAGAAUCAAUUUGAGGGCAAGCUCUGGUGCCAGCAGCCGCGGUAACUCCAGCUCAAAUGGUGUAUAUUAAAAUUGUUGUAAUUAAAAAGUUUGUAGUUUGAAUUUGGAAUUCUGGAUUUAUUGAAUGAUCACAAUGUAAAUAUUGUGGUUAUUUGUUCAGAUUUUCAUUAAUGGAACAAGGAAUACUCAAUAUUCUGAAAGGAAUAUUGGGUAAUUUAAUUCUUUGUUCAUUUUACCAUAAAUAAAAUAGAGUGUUUAAAGCAUGACAUUUUUGUCAAUUGAAUAAUUUAGUAUGGGAUAAUAGAAGACGAGAGAAAAAAGAGUGUACAUCUUACAUUCAUGUCAAAGUGAAUGGUCUUUUUUCUCUAAUGAUUAAUAGGGACAAUUGGGGCAAUUUGUAUUUCUACUCGAGCGGUGAAAUGCAUAGACAGUAGAAAGACAAACUAAUGCGAAAGCAUCUUGCAAAGGUGUUUUCAUUAAUCAAGAACGAAAGUUUGGGGAUCGAAGAUGAUCAGAUACCAUUGUAGUCCAAUUUUUUCUUUACCAUAAAAAAUGACAACAAAGGGUGAGGGA
rnacentral:rRNA from 1 species